rnacentral:tRNA from 3 species
GCGGGCGUAGUUUAAUGGUAGAACUUCAGCUUCCCAAGCUGAUAGCGUGGGUUCGAUUCCCAUCGCCCGCUCCA